rnacentral:rRNA from 1 species
AUUGAACGCUGGCGGCAGGCCUAACACAUGCAAGUCGGACGGUAGCACAGAGGAGCUUGCUCCUCGGGUGACGAGUGGCGGACGGGUGAGUAAUGUCUGGGGAUCUGCCCGAUAGAGGGGGAUAACCACUGGAAACGGUGGCUAAUACCGCAUAACGUCGCAAGACCAAAGAGGGGGACCUUCGGGCCUCUCACUAUCGGAUGAACCCAGAUGGGAUUAGCUGGUAGGCGGGGUAACGGCCCACCUAGGCGACGAUCCCUAGCUGGUCUGAGAGGAUGACCAGCCACACUGGAACUGAGACACGGUCCAGACUCCUACGGGAGGCAGCAGUGGGGAAUAUUGCACAAUGGGCGCAAGCCUGAUGCAGCCAUGCCGCGUGUAUGAAGAAGGCCUUCGGGUUGUAAAGUACUUUCAGCGGGGAGGAAGGCGAUGUGGUUAAUAACCGCGUCGAUUGACGUUACCCGCAGAAGAAGCACCGGCUAACUCCGUGCCAGCCGCCGCGGUAA